AUUGAACUCUGGCGGCAGGCCUAACACAUGCAAGUCGAGCGGAGCGGCGGACGGGUGAGUAAUGCCUAGUAAUCUGUCUGGUAGUGGGGGAUAACGUCCGGCAACGGGCGCUAAUACCGCAUACUAUCAGAUGAGCCUAGUUCGGAUUAGCUAGUUGGUGGGGUAAAGGCCUACAAAGGCGACGAUCCGUAACUGGUCUGAGAGGAUGAUCAGUCAAACGGGAACUGAGACACGGUCCAGACUCCGACGGGAGGCAGCAGUGGGGAAUAUUGGACAAUGGGCGAAAGCCUGAUCCAGCCAUGCCGCGUGUGUGAAGAAGGUCUUCGGAUUGUAAAGAACUGUAAGUUGUGAGGCGUUACCAACAGAAUAAGCACCGGCUAACUUCGUGCCAGCAGCCGCGGUAAUUC
rnacentral:rRNA from 1 species